ACUGCGUUCCGGAAAAGUGUAGGAUUUGAGGUCGGUGAUUUCAGUAUAGUACACGUAUAUUUGUCUGGUCUGGUCUGCUGUUGUUUGGAAUUUUCACUUCAACGUUCAAAAUGUAAACAAAAGCUUUGUCUACAUAGGAAAGAAUUGUCAUGUGUAGUACGCACCAUUAAUGGAGGAUGAGGAACAGACAGACCGCGGGACGGGCCGACAGGAAGGUUCAAAUGACACAUCCCCGACCAUAUUUAUCGAGAGAGAAGAGGUCGUGGUCCCUGACGGUGGGUGGGGCUGGUUUAUCGUCUUCGGGAGCUUCCUGUGUCACUUUAUCAUCGGCGGCAUGGAGCGGUCCGCGGGUCUGCUGUACCUGUACUUUAUAGAGCGGUUCAGACAGAGCGCCGCAACCACCGCAUGGACAACCACACUGGCCUCCGCACUUAGACUCAUGCUGGGUCCCCUGUGUAGUUUCCUCUGUAACAAAUUCUCCUGCAGACACGUGGUCAUCGUGGGUUCGCUCAUCAUCACCGUUACUCAUAUUAUGACGGCGUAUGCACCCAAUCUGGAGACAGUCUUCGUCACUUUUGGAGUCCUUGGAGGGUUUGGACGUAGUUUAGCGUACGCCCCCGCAGUUAUGAUGGUGGGGAUAUAUUUUAACAAAAAGAGAGGCAUUGCCGUGGGUUUGGGAACGUCUGGGGUUGGAUUCGGGUCGUUCGCUGCCCCGGCAAUUGUAGAGAUGGCCUUCCACUUCUACGGUUACAGCGGAGGGUUCUAUAUACUGGCCUGCUUUGCCAUCAAUUUGUGCAUAGCUGGUAUGCUGUUUCGACCUCUGGAGAAGCAAAGAUUACUGAUGGCUUAUGACAAAAGGAGAAAGAGUAUGAAAACUUUUGAUGUUGAAUUUCCACUAAAAGAAAGCGAUUCGUUUAUUUCUCGGGACAGUUUAAAUCAGCUACCGACGGAGUCCGUUCCUGCAGUAAAUCCUAUGGACGGGGGAUACCUGGAUGUCGACAGUAUGACACUAGUCGUCCAAGACACCAAGUCAGCUGAAGUGGCUGAAAAGGAACUGCCGCUACUGAAGACCCAGGAAGAUAGCGUUUCUGGGCAGAAUGGCUCAAUGAAAAACGCGGAGAGCUACAAAGAACAUAAAUCUUGUUGUGGUUUCUUCAGAUCUAAAUCUAAGCCGGGACAACCGAGGAAUAACUUUCUGGAGCUCUCUCUUCUGAAAGAUUUCCGGUUUUUGUCAUUCUGUGUUGCCAUUUUGCUGUUCACUCUUGCCUUUCAGUCCGCCUUCGUGUUCCUUCCUGCUUACGGUAAACAGCUUGGAAACACCGACAUGGAGUCUGCUUAUCUUAUCAUCAUCACCGGGGCCUUUGACGGAAUGGGUAGGGUGUUUUCUGGGAUAGUUCUUGAUCUGAAGAAAGUCAAAAGGUUCCGGGUGUAUAUCUACAACAUCAUCAUGUUUCUGGUGGGCGGGGUCUCCUUCGUUAUCCCUAUGACAGGCAACCGAAAAAUUGACUUUGAAUGCUGCUUCUUACCUCGAUAUACCCGGUAUAUGGACGGAAAAGUGUCCUUGGAACCUUCCUGUCGCUCUGUCCUGUGGCCGGUCUUUUCCUCAUCCUCCAUCAUUUUAAAGAAGAUGGUCCGCCUUCGUGUUCCUUCCUGCUUACGGUAAACAGCUUGGAAACACCGACAUGGAGUCUGCGUAUCUUAUCAUCAUAACCGGGGCCUUUGACGGAAUGGGUAGGGUGUUUUCUGGGAUAGUUCUUGAUCUGAAGAAAGUCAAAAUGUUCCGGGUGUAUAUCUACAACAUCAUCAUGUUUCUGGUGGGCGGGGUCUCCUUCGUUAUCCCUAUGACAGGUACGUACACCCAGCUCUGUGUAGUGUGUGGACUGUACGGGCUACUGAUUGGAAUCUACAUCUCCCAGAAGUCUGUCAUCCUAGUCGAUCUGUUGGGCGCGGAAAAACUCAUCAACUCUUUCGGACUCCUGAUAUGUUUCCAGGGCGUGGGGAUGCUUAUAGGUCCACCUUUCUCAGGUUUUCUGAAAGACAUCAAUAGACAAUAUGAGAACGCCUUUUAUGUGGGAGGCAGUUCCAUGUUUUUGGGUGCUCUCAUUUUAUUGACUUCAAACAUUCGACAUUUAAUGUUAACUAGAAAAGGCCAGUGUAAUGAAAAAGAACAUUGAUUGUACAUGAUCAGGUAAAUGAAGUAAAUUAUUUGUAAUUUACUAUAUAUGGCGGUUGUUUUGGUUGUUAAUUUUGAAUUUAGUGCAACGGUAUAUUUACGUUUAUUGGGGUGGGCGACUGGGUUAUUUUCUAUAACGCAUUUUUUUGCAUGACCAUUUACUGCUAUGUUGAUCAAAAUACUGAAGUACCAGUAUGUUGUCCUAUUUUAGUAAUGAUAGAUUAUCGCCAUGACUGUAUUAUAGUAUAAUAAUCAAGAUCGUCUGAUAUCACGGUAUAUACUAGUACUGGACGUUUUUGACGUAUUUCUUCGUGUAGUUCAGGGGACUUUUAGUGCGCAUGACCAUUUACCAUUCUCUAUAGUAACCACAAAUUUAAAGUAACGACAGAUUAUCGCCAUGACUGUACUGAAGUAUUAACCAAGAUUGUUUGAUAUAGCAUGAAAUGCAUUUAAAUAUACGUGUUUUUGAGUAUUCAUGACACAAAUUUGUUUCUUUCAAGUGUUUUAUCGUAUGUACCUGAACCGUUUUAGUUUAGUUAUAACAAUAAAAUAAUGAAAGUUUUUCUAAGAUUGUUUGUUUGGUUCUCUUAUUCAAUAUCAAACUUUUACGAGUAAUUGUUUAAUGAGAUUGAAAGUAAUUAUAAUAUUUGUAAAACGUUGAAUCGAAUGGAAUGCAAUGAUGAAGUUUAUAUUUUGGAAAUUUUCUAUAUCUAAAGAAAGCUUAACGAUGGCGUUUACUCAGAAUUAAAAAAAGCAUUGAUAAUAAUG
rnacentral:misc_RNA from 1 species